rnacentral:rRNA from 1 species
GUGUUGUUUGUGAAGGGCACACGGUGGAUGCCUGGGCAUUAUGAGCCGAUGAAGGACGUGUAAGGCCGCGAUAGGCCUCGGGGAGUUGCCAAUAGAGCGUUGAUCCGAGGGUGUCCGAAUGGGGAAACCUGGCCAUGGUUAUGUGUGGUUACCCAUCAGUGAAUGUAUAGCUGGUGUGGGGGUGACGCGGGGAAGUGAAACAUCUUAGUACCCGUAGGAGAAGAAAAUAAUUAAUGAUUCUGCUAGUAGUGGCGAACGAACGUGGAUGAGGCUAAACCGUAUGCGUGUGAUACCUGGCAGGGGUUGCGUGUGUGGUGUUGUGGGGCGUUGUUGGAGGAGGCUGCCGGCUCCUCGCUUGUGUAUGUGUGUGUUAGCGGAAGUGGUUUGGAAUGGCCUGCCGUAGUGGGUGAGAGUCCCGUACGUGAAAGUGCAUGCAUGUGAGUGGAUGAUGUUCCCGAGUAGCAGCGGGCUCGUGGAAUCUGCUGUGAAUCUGCCGGGACCACCCGGUAAGCCUAAAUACUUAUGAUGACCGAUAGCGGAUUAGUACCGUGAGGGAAUGGUGAAAAGUACCCCGGGAGGGGAGUGAAAUAGUACCUGAAACCGUGUGCUUACAAUCCGUCAGAGCCUCUUUUUGUGGGGUGAUGGCGUGCCUUUUGAAGAAUGAGCCUGCGAGUCAGCGGCAUGUCGCGAGGUUAACCCGUGUGGGGUAGUCGUAGCGAAAGCGAAUCCUAAUGAGGGUGUUGUCAGUGGCAUGUUCUGGACCCGAAGCGGGGUGAUCUACCCAUGGCCAGUGUGAAGCAGCUGUAAGAGG